rnacentral:rRNA from 1 species
CGAACGAUUCUAUAUAGCAAUAUACAGUUUAGUGGCAGACGGGUGAGGAACACGUAGGAAUCUACCUCUUGGUGGGGGAUAGCUCGCCGAAAGGCGGGGUAAUACCCCAUGAGGUCCACGGAUCAAAGGCCAGAAAUGGCCGCCGGGAGAGGAGCCUGCGUCCUAUCAGCUAGUUGGUGAGGUAAUGGCUCACCAAGGCUACGACGGGUAGGGGGCGUGAGAGCGUGGCCCCCCACAAGGACACUGAGACACGGGUCCUACAUCUACGGAUGGCAGCAACUGGGAAUCUUGCGCAAUGGACGAAAGUCUGACGCAGCGACGCCGCGUGUAGGAAGAAGGCCUUCGGGUCGUAAACUACUGUGGUAGGGGAAUAAAAAAAUGAAGGUACCUUACUAGAAAGCGCCUGCUAACCACGUGCCAGAAGCCUCGGUAAUACGUGGGGUGCAAGCAUUAUCCGGAUUUACUGGGCGUAAAGCGUUCUGUAGGCGGUUUUGUAAGUAUAUGGUUAAAGGCUUCGGCUCAACCGAAGACAUGCUGUAUAAACUACAUGACUAGAUGGUUAUCGGGAGUAUCGGAAUUCUUGGUGGAGGGGUGAAAUCCGUUGAUAUCAAGAGGAACACCAAAGGCGAAGGCAGAUACUUAGGUAACUCAUGACGCUGAUAGACGACAGCUAGGGGAGCGAAAGGGAUUAGAGACCCCU